rnacentral:rRNA from 1 species
CCUACGGGAGGCAGCAGUGGGGAAUAUUGGACAAUGGGGGCAACCCUGAUCCAGCCAUGCCGCGUGUGUGAAGAAGGCCCUCGGGUUGUAAAGCACUUUCAGUGAGGAAGAACGCCUGGUGGUUAAUACCCAUCAGGAAAGACAUCACUCACAGAAGAAGCACCGGCUAACUCCGUGCCAGCAGCCGCGGUAAUACGGAGGGUGCGAGCGUUAAUCGGAAUUACUGGGCGUAAAGCGCGCGUAGGUGGCUUGAUAAGCCGGUUGUGAAAGCCCCGGGCUCAACCUGGGAACGGCAUCCGGAACUGUCAAGCUAGAGUGCAGGAGAGGAAGGUAGAAUUCCCGGUGUAGAGGUGAAAUGCGUAGAGAUCGGGAGGAAUACCAGUGGCGAAGGCGGCCUUCUGGACUGACACUGACACUGAGGUGCGAAAGCGUGGGUAGCAAACAGGAUUAGAUACCCUUGUAGUC